rnacentral:rRNA from 1 species
AACGCGAAGAACCUUACCUACCCUUGACAUACAGUGGAUUAUCUAGAGAUGGAUAAGUGCCUUCGGGAACACUGAUACAGGUGCUGCAUGGCUGUCGUCAGCUCGUGUCGUGAGAUGUUGGGUUAAGUCCCGUAACGAGCGCAACCCUUAUUCUUAGUUACCAGUGCGUGAUGGCGGGGACUCUAAGGAGACUGCCGGUGACAAACCGGAGGAAGGCGGGGACGACGUCAAGUCAUCAUGGCCCUUACGGGUAGGGCUACACACGUGCUACAAUGGCCAGUACAGAGGGGAGCGAGAGCGAGAGUUUAAGCGAAUCUUAUAAAGCUGGUCGUAGUCCGGAUUGAAGUCUGCAACUCGACUUCAUGAAGUCGGAAUCGCUAGUAAUCGCGAAUCAGCAUGUCGCGGUGAAUACGUUCCCGGGCCUUGUACACACCGGCUAC